rnacentral:sRNA from 1 species
GCGCCUGCGGCGGGCAAGGCACGGGAUAUAUGAUGAUUUCGCAGGCAAUCUUUCCGUGUACGGUCCGGUACACUCCGGAAAUUUCCGGACUUUAAAGUCUUU